rnacentral:rRNA from 1 species
GAUGAACGCUAGCGGCAGGCCUAACACACGCAAGUCGAGGGGUAGAGGAAGCUUGCUUCCUUGAGACCGGCGCACGGGUGCGUAACGCGUAUGCAAUCUACCUUUUACAGAGGGAUAGCCCAGAGAAAUUUGGAUUAAUACCUCAUAGUAUUUUCGAAUGGCAUCAUUUGAUUAUUAAAGUUCCAACGGUAAAAGAUGAGCAUGCGUCCUAUUAGCUAGAUGGUAAGGUAACGGCUUACCAUGGCAACGAUAGGUAGGGGUCCUGAGAGGGAGAUCCCCCCCACUGGAACUGAGACACGAACCAGACUCCUACGUGAGGCAGCAGUGAGGAAUAUUGGACAAUGGGCGCAAGCCUGAUCCAGCCAUGCCGCGUGCAGGAAGACGCAUCUAUGGUGUGUAAACUGCUUUUGUACGGGAAGAAACACUCCCUCGUGAGGGAGCUUGACGGUACCGUAAGAAUAAGGAUCGGCUAACUCCGUGCCAGCAGCCGCCGUAAGAC